UCAUGCUUUAGCUCACCGAGGCUUUCUUCUUCCUCCUCGUUGAUGGGGUGAAUCUCAACGCCAGCGUCGCUAUCGCUCUCGUAAUCGACUUCUUCCUCUAUGACAUCGUGUGUUUCGUCAAAAGGUUUGAAUAUCCCUGGAGUUGGUGGAUCACUGUAACUCUUAACCCCAGAGUUUUUCGGUCUGACUCGGUUCAAUGCUUCUCUGAUCAAUUCUUCCCAUUUUGCAACCGGUCGGUUAUCUUCAGCUCCAAGUAUGUUCCCAGCAUUCAAAGGUACAACCUCUUGUAAACUUCAGACAAAACAAAAACAUGAACAUAUAAACAUAUUGAACAGAGUUAGUUUUGUCUAUGUCGUUGAGGAAAAAUAAAUAAUUUUUUUUUUUUGGUUUACCCAAGAACGUAGAUAUCGGCAGAAUGAUUAAUGUCGAUCCAGUCAUCGAUGUCAAGAUCAGAAGGUUGUGAUACUCCUCCUACGUUCCACGUACCAACACAUACUCUGCAUAACAACAAGUUCUCGUUAUUACAAUCCCGACAUGGUAGGUCUCUUUUAUAACCCAACAACUUUCGGAAUGUAAGAGAAUGUUUAUCCGGGAUCUUUAGUGGGUUUCUUAGUGCGUGGACUCCCACAAAACCCUUAAGGAUCGGUUACAAAAACUACUAAUUAAGAACCGAUUUUAGUGAGUUUCUUCCACUGUUCACGGGCUCCACUGACUCGUGGCGGUCCACGAUUGGUUUGGUUUUAAUUUUUUUUUUUUUUUUUUUUUUUAAAAACUAUUGGGUUUCUUAAGGAUAAUCAUGGUCUAAUAGUACUACUAUAAUAAAAAUUAAUAUAUAAAAAAUCGAAAGAAACAUCAAAUGUUUUACCUUAUAUCUUUGUUGUUAAUAUACUGUGCUCUCAAUGUUUCUGAAUUCCUUCUCCUUAACUUCAACGGAGCAUCUGAUAUCAGAAGAAAUAGUUUAAAAUAUUCAUUAUCCAAAAAAAUUGUUUCUCCAGUUUAAUUUUAUUAACUACAUAGGAAUCUUGGAUCUUAAGUCUAUAAUCUCCUAAGUAUCUGAAGUCAGUUUUUUAAUUUUAAUUUAAAGAAUUAAGUAUCAAAGAUGGUUUGAAUCCGGACUACUAAAAUACCACUAGACCACCAAUAUUUUAAUAUGGUUUUUAUUUUUAAUAAAAUUUCUGAAUUCCAGCAAAGAGAAUGAACUGAAAAACUUAGAAACCACACCACAGUGAAUCUCAUAAACAACCUAUGCAAUUCGGCAUUACCAUUGCUAGUAAACUCCGCGGCUGCUUCAGCGACGGUUAUAGGAUCCUCCGAGAUCUCACUAACCCAUGAUUGAGUCGAUCCUCUCCUUUGUGUGCUCGAUUCUUCAUUAUCUGUUAAACCGGUUUAAACGGCUUAGAUAAUCGGAAAAGAAGAACUGAUGAAUGAUUCUGGAGAGAGAGAGAGAGUGAUAGAUAGAAGAAACAAGAACCUUCGUCGGAGCCAGAGUCCUGGUUUUCCUCUACAACGUCCUCGUUUUCGGAUUCGUCUUCAGUAUCAGCACCAUACUCAAGAUCUCUAGCACUUAUGUUCAACCACUUCCUCAUAACAACCUUCGCCCAUAAUCUCUGUGUAAAUCAUCCAACACUUUUGUUUAGAACCAUUCAUUUUUAUUUAAGACAUCGUAAUCUGUAAGGACAGACAACAAAUAUUACCUGAGAUUUCUGACGACGGAAGCUCUUCCUCAUCAUCCCGGCAGGUUCAGCAACUGAAGCAUCAAAAUUGAAUUUUCACAAAAGUGAUAUUCUUUAAUAAAUAAAGGAAAGUGCUGAAACUUUUGUAAAUCUUUAUUUUUUCUUUUCGUGUCAGACCAUAAAAUCCAUUAGAGAGUUCGAGACGCGUGUGUCCGUCCUCGUUUUUUAUAUCAUUUUAUGCAAUUUUCUUCUACAUUUAUGUAAGGUUAAUAAAAUUGAUAAUGACAUAAUUAUAAUUUUUUCCCUGAGUAAUAGGUAAUUUAUUAGUUUUAAGUUUCGACAUACAGAUUAAAAAAACAAUUAAUUUUGUACAUUUUCUAUAAAAAAAAUACUAUUAUCUAUACACCUAAUCAUAUUUCAACCAAUAAAAAAAUAAAUUUUGCAUAAAAUUAAUAAAUUUUGCUUUGAAAAUCGAAAACGACACUUAUUUUGUAAUGAAAAAAUUUUUCUAAAACGACACUUAAUAUGAAACGAAAAAAAUACUAAAAUCACUAUUAGUGUCACGGGUCACUUAUAGAAAAAGGCCCACACUAUAUAUAAGAUUAAAAUUACGAUAUAGUAGUAACUUGAAUAAUUGUUUCUAGCUAAACUUAUAAGGUGAACGUGAAAACACGUAUCCUACUGGUUAAAGUUUAAAGGCUUUUACAUCUAGGUCUGGAGUUUGAAUUUCAAAUCUGGAUGUAGAACUAGAGCUGUAAAUUGGGCGAGCCCAUGUCCAUUAGCCCAUAUCCAUUUGUCCAUUUAUUGUUUGCGGACAGAGAGUGACCAUGUCCAUUAAGAACCAUGUCUAUUAAUGACCAUACCCACUAACACCCAUAUUUUCAUGGGCUGCCAUGGGGUCCAUAAUGACCAUAUAAGAAAUUUUAAAUUUUAAUCUAUAAGCCUAUAAUUAUAUAUACAGGUUCAUAAAAUUAAAAUUCAUCCAUAAAUUCAAAAGUACAACAAUACAUAAGUUCAUAAGUACAACAAUUCCGGUCUUGGCGGGAAAAAUCAAUUUUGCGGUUUUGGCGGAAAAACUUAAUUUUGCAGUUUUGACGGGAAAACUCGAUUUUGCAGUUUUGGCGGAAAAACUCGUUUUUGCGGUUUUGGCGGAAAACUAGAUUUUUUGAUUUUGGCAGAGAAACUCGAUUUUUCGGUUUUGCCAUGGGGUCCAUAAUGACCAUAUAAGAAAAUUUUAAUUUAUAAGCCUACAAUUACAUAUACAAGUUCAUAAAAUUAAAAUUUAUCCAUAAAUUUAUAAGUACAAUAAUACAUAAGUUCAUAAGUACAACAAUUUCGGUUUUGGCGAGAAAAAUCGAUUUUGCGGUUUUGGCAGGAAAACUCGAUUUUCCGGUUUUGUCGGAAAAAUUCGAUUUUGCGUUUUGAAGAAAAACUCAAUUUUGCGGUUCUGACGGAAAAACUCGAUUUUCUGGUUCUGACGGGAAAAUUUGAUAUCAAAAUUUAAGCGAAAAAAUCGAUUUUACGAUUUUAGCAGAAAAACUUAAAUUUUAGAAACCCUAGGUUUUGUGACCAUUGGACAGUCCAAGUCCAUAAAGCCCAAAACCAACAAAGAUCAUUUUCUUAAUGGUCUCCCACAUUUUGUCCAAUAAAAACCAAUGGAAAAAAUGGGUUUGUCCAUAUUAAGCCCGUUUGUAUAUGGACAUGGGCAACCAUUGGACAGCCCGCCCAUUUGGCACCUCUAUGUAGAAGCCUUCAUAGGACGGCUCAGGUGAUACUACUUAAAUGCAGGUGGACAAAGGUGGAUCCAAAGGACUAGAACUCUGUGUAUUCAUAGAUUUGUAUGAAUGUAAUUUUUAUCAACCAAUUAAAAGUAAGUUUACAAAUAUAAAAUGAAUUAGUACAUAAAUAUGCACACGCGGUACAUAUUGGUAGGGACUUGGUCUUACAGCUCCCAUUGGAUCUACUUUUUAACCUGAGUGGUCCCAGUUGGACUUUAACUUUUGGACCGUAACUCAACUGUUUCUAUAAUUAAUAAUAUACCGCUUAUCCUCACAAAUCACAAUAUUAACGUGGUAAGUCACAAAAAGCAAAGAUUAAUUCUGGAAUACCAGAAAAAUGAAAAAUGAAACGCAAAGUACAUGGCGCCGCCAAAUUAGUCGAUGGGGUGAACAAAAAAAAGCAAUCUAUAGGAGAUCGGGUCUCGAUUUCCGGUUAGAGCCCGGUUGGGGAUAAGGUGUUCGGGUCGUGAGGUGCGGUAUGGGACCCACAACAUACACGGACCACAGAAAGCAGCAUACACAGAGUUCUAGUCCUUUGGGUCCACCUACCUUUAACUAGAGUUAGUCUACGAUUCAACCAGUGUGUUGUACACUUGUACUGUUGCAUCAACUUUUGCGGUAAAUAAAUAGUAUAUGAACGGUUAUAAAUUUAUAAUACUUGAUAUAGUUCUGUAUAAUUUGAGGCCAUAAGUUUGUUUUUCAAUUAAUUUUGUAAAGAUAUUAGGUCGAUCCAUCCAAAUUUCGAUACAUCAACAUCAUUUUUCUUUUUGCUUUUACAUAUUUUUUCAAACUUAAUAUAUUAAAUUUUAAAAAUUGUUAUUCACUCGUAACUUAGUGAUAUUUAAAUCCAGAAAUAUUUCAUUAUUUUGUUGUUGACGUGUAUAAAUUUGUUAUUCUAGUCAUGUUUUACUGUAUUUGGAGGUCGUAAUGUUUCUAAAGAUGUACCAUUUGGUAAUAUUUGACCAAUAUAUAUUAUAUAAAAAUUAGGUUCAGUCGAAUAUUGAAGUAUUUGUGAAAUUAUUUAUGUCAUGAAAUGAAUUAAAGUGUACUUUUAAAAAUUAUAUAAGACAUAUCUAAUUUCCAUCCCACCAAAAUAAAUUGCAGACACAAAAAUUAAUAUAUUUUCUACAAAUACUUAAAUUAGUUCAUAAGUGAUUGAUAUUUUUUGUCAUAAAUUCUAAAAAUCGUUAACUCAAUGUUAAAAAAUUAUAUUGUUAAGCAUUUUCUCAAAAAAAAAAUAUUAUACUGCUAUAGGAUAAUGACUUUAUAUGUGGAAAUAGAUCAAUGUCUUCAAUGAGUAAAAAACAAACUAAGGAAGCGAAGUCACCUUUUAGCAUCUAGCUAGUAGUAUCCUGAUUGUAUCACCGUCAGCUGAGAUAAAAUGAAGUUAAAAGAGAAAAAUCAGUAAUAUAUUUUUAUAACUGGGUGCACAAAAUUUCCUGAAUGUCUUCUGUACCACCAUAAAAGUGGUUUGAAUGAUGAUAUGAUUUGUUGGAACCAGAUUACAGACGUCCAAAAAUACCACAUGCCCAAUUGUUGGAGUCUUGGAGAUAUAAGGGUGCAAGCCACAUGAAAUUUCGUUUUGUUUUAGAAAACAUCACCGAUGAUGAACUGAAUGAAGUAUGGAGCUUCAUGUGAUUUGCCUUUGAUUGUGAAUAUAAGAAGAGCAUCCACGACAACAAAGCUCUUAAAUAGAAUUUCUCAUCAUUAAAUACCAAUAUAAUUUGUCAUAAUAAUUAAGUUUUAGUUAAUUAUAAAAUAAAAUCAGUAAUAAUAUGACACCUUGCAAAAUAAUACUCCCUCCGUUUUUUUUAUAUAAGUCGUUUUAGAGAAUUUUUUAUGUUCCAAAUUAUAUGAUGUUUUCGGUUUUUUAUGUAAAAUUUAUUAACACUUAAUGUUAUAUGACCAAUGAAAAUAUACCUUCUAUUUUAUUAUUUGUUGAUUUGUGGUUAGGUAAAUAAUUAAUGAUGUUUUUGUUUAAAAAAUAUAAAAAAUUAAUGAUUUCUUAAUCUAUGUGCACAAUUCUAAAACGACUUAUAUUAAAAAACGGAGGGAGUAGUUUUUUGCCAAGAGCUUUUAAUCUCUUGGGAAAGACACUUAUCUUUCCUCAAUUUUACUAUUUAUCUAUCUCUCUCUUUUUUUCUAAUUAUUUUUUAUUAUUAUAGGUGAAAAACUUGCCGAGAACCUUUCACCAAUGGUACUCUAACUCUAUAACUCACUGAUCUUCUGUUUGCUCGGUACUUACUCUUUUUGUUUUGCAAUGAAUAUCACUUUUAUCUUUUUUUACACAGAUGGUAAAAAUGAUUAAACUGUAUAUAUGUUCUUAUUAAUUAUUCAUAUUUAACUAACAAUAUUUAAGAUAAAUAAAAUUAUUUAUAAAAUUAAUACAUUCUGUAAUUAAUAUCGAGUUUAAAAUAGGAAUAAAUUGUAUUGAAAUUUUAAAAUUAUUUUCUCUCAGUGUUUUUAAAACCGGACCGAAAAUAUUUUGGAUCACGGUUCAAUAUGGUUCGACCGGGUCAAACCUGGUUCAAUAAUAUGGUUUAAUAUUUUUUAGUACGUAAAUAUAAAAGUAAUAUUAGUAAACAUGAUGAUAGUUAAAAUAUAAAUCAAUUUUGAACAUAAAAUAUUAUAAAUAUAAAUUAGUUUCUUGUUUAUAUGGAUGGUUUAUAGAUUUUCGAUAGUUUUAGUGGUUUUUAUUGGUUUAAUAACUUUGAAAUAUAAUCCGACUAUGUGGCCGGUUCAUGGUCGAACCAAUUACUAGACCAACCCGGCUAUAUAACCGGUUCAUGGUCGAACUCGGUCCAACCAUCGGAUCAGUCCAGUUUUAAAAACACUGCUUUCUCUUUAUUAAAAAGGGAGUAUAUUUUGUUACAUAAGAGUUAUGAAGAUAUAUCCAGAUUGGUAAUGUUUAUUGGAUAAACGGAGAAGACAGUGUCCGAAGAAAUUGGAUGUCAAAUGGAACAAUUCUUCUCAUCAGAUCAUUCUUGUUAAUUAAUUUUGUGUUCAGAUUAAACCUAUCCAAACGAGAACAUUGUUUGACAACUAAAUAAACAAAAGAAAGUCUAAAAAAUAAAACGCAUCAGAUCAAAGUACACUUAUUUGUUGCCCAAGUUGAGCAAAGUACCUUGGACUGUGAGGAGGUGAUGGCUUGAAGACGAAGAAGAAGAAGAAGGGCAGAUGAAAUUAGUUUUUCUUUGGGUCUUUUCGAGGUGUGAAGUGAGCUUUUUACGUUUGGGAAGGUCGAAACAAACUUUUAAUUUCUUCCCCUACUUUUGCUUCUCCAUUUAUAUUUGUGUCCGUGUAUAUCAAGCAUAUUAUAUCAUUUUUGUACUAUAUAUUAUAGAUUUCUUUCAAUUUACACCUUUCCGCCACGUCUACUCCGAUCCUCCGAUCCUCCGGUUCGACAUUAUAAGUUUCUGUAACCCUGUAUUAGUACAUCUUGGCACAUGUCAUUUGACUUCGAAAUCAGAGUACACUUUGAUUCGUUGUUAAGUUUUGUCGUCUUUACCGUACGUGUCAUAUGUAUAUAUGAUCUGUGAUUAGUAUAAACUGCAAGACCUAAACUCAGUAAUUUUUCAACAAAAAGAAAAUAUUAUAAGAAGAGAAGGAUCGGCAAAAGCAGAGACUUGUCUUACAUCAGAUCUCAUUUUCUAACUUAUCUGUACUUUAAGUUACAAAAAAAAAAAAAAAAAACUUAUCUGUACAGCGAUAAUAACGCUACGUUAUUAUUUUAUUUUGUAGAUCAUUAUUACAUGCAUCUAUCACGGGUGACGAGAUAAGUGUAAAUAUUUGUCAAAACUGAUGGAACAUCCAAAAUAAUUAAAUUUGUACCUACUAAAACUCGAAUCUGAGUGUGAUGUAUUUGUUAUGUUAUUACGUUUAGAAAUAAAACUUAGCAUCAUGCAAGCCUACCUUAAUACCCAUUUUGUCAUGUCUAUAACCACUAAUCUCAAUCGAAUACAGACUAAAUACUCUUUUGGUCCUGUCUAUAACCACUGAUCUCAAUCUAGGAGUGUAUUUAACAACAUUAUACUACGAGGGAGUACUAAUAAAUGUUUUCUGAUGCUAAUCAGUGAGCAUUAAAACAUAAAAGUUGUUUUUAAAUGAUUGGCUAUGACUCAUUGAUUAAUUAAAACAUUCAAUUCGGAUAGGUGGCAAAGCGAUGAUUAAUCAUAAUGGAUCGGUGAGUUCAAUGUAUAAUUUUUAAUGAUCAUGACAAUUAUGUAAAUUAAACUGAGUUAUUAUUUUGCGUGAUGUUGGGUUGUUGUCAGGCCAGAACUUGAUCAUCAUAUGAGCGAUAGUAUCAUCUCAUCUUCAUCUUUGUACUAAUAAUUUACGAUUGGAAAUCAUGAAGUUUUUUCUAAUCAAUUGUCUGUAUGUGUUACUUUAACUAAUCUUUCAUUUAUUAAAAAAUAAAAAAAUGUAGUGUGAAUUUUAUUGGCCGUCGCAAACGAUUUUUAAGCCACAAAUUAGUAUGUUCAUUCAGGUUCAGAAUAAGUUUAUUUACUUAUCAAAAUGAUCACUGGGUUUUAAGGAAAAUUAAAAUAAGGUUCAAGUAAAGGUAGAUGCUAAACAGGUAGUGACAAAACGUUUAGCGAUCAAAUUACUCAAUCCAAAUUUGGAUGAUUCAAGCAAUAUAAACUUUACUAAGAUUAACUAUAUAUAAUAUUAACAUGAAAGCGAAAAGUAUUUUAAUCAUAGUAGAUCAUCUCAAACAUUAUUUAUUCAAAGUUGAUAAAGAUCAAAAUUCAUUUGUAAACAUACUGAUUAAAUUUGACAUACCAGAAAGUGACUUAGACCAUAAAUUUCAAAUAUUAAAUCAUGAAAAUUUUAAACUACAUAUACUAUUUAAAUUAGACGAAACAUCUGUUUGAAACACCAACAAGGUUUUUUUAGCCAAAACAUCAGUUUGAAAACCAAUAAUGUGUGUUUCGAAAAGAAAAAAAACCAAUAAUGUUAUAUCGGAAGANNNNNNNNNNNNNNNNNNNNNNNNNNNNNNNNNNNNNNNNNNNNNCGGAAGAGGAACACAAUUUAAAAUAUUGAGCCCAAAACACAAUCAUGUAUACGUUUUUAAUCAAAUUACUAGAUUUAGACCCGCCCUUUAAAAGCGCGGAAUCAAUUUUUAUUAGAAAACAUUUAUUUACUGAAAAUUAAAAAUUUUAUACAUUUAUUUUUAUUUACAAUUUUUUAAAAUAUAGAUAAUUAAAUUUAAAUUUACAUGAAUAUAAUUUUAUGAAAAUAGGAUAACUCAUUUUUACAAUCCACCCGUAUUAAAUUUUACUAAUAUUUUAAAGCUUUCAAUUAUAGGAAAAAUUUAUUUUUAAUUUCUUAUAUUGGUCAAAAUUUAUUUUAUUAUUGUAUAAAUUAAAUAUAUCUCAUUUAAAUUUUUCAUAUUCUAAUUUAAAUAGAUAUAUUAAAGUAUGAAAUUAUUUAUUAAUUAAUAUAUCUUACUUUAAUAUUUUAUUUUAAUAGGUUAAGUAUAUUGUAAAUUCAUGAAUAUACGUUAUUAUUUAAUUUUAUAAUUUAUAAAAUAGUUAGGACAUGGAUUAGGUUACUUUAUAUUUGUUAAUUGGUGUAGUAAUUUAAUUAUGAAUAUAAAUAUAAUAGGAUUGUUAUUUCUUACUCUAUAAAUCAAAAAUGAAUUAGUACUCGUUUAUAAUUAUAGUUGAUAUUAAUUAUGUAUUUUAUUAUUAAAUCUAAAUAUUAAAAUAAAUAAAUAAAUAUAUAUAUUUUAAAUAAAAGGCAUUAAAAGAUAUUACUAAAAUGCAAUCUUAGAAAAAGAUACUUAAGAAUAUAUUUUAGAUAUCUUAUUUUGAAAAUAUUAAAAGAAUAGGUUAGAUAUGAUAUAUAUUUAAUAAUAAUUAAGAUAGUUGAGGAGAUAAAAUAGGAAUUUUAAAUAAAUGUUACAGUUCAACGUAGAUUUGUAAGUAGAUAAAAGAAUUUUUAGUAAUUAAACCCCUCAAGUAAAGAUGAAUCGUAAAAAAUCUUCAACUAAAAAUCAUGUGAAAUAAACCUUCAACUUUAAUUCCGUUAACAUAUAUUACCCUCCGUCUAAAAAACCAUGACGGAAGGUGACAUACGUUAACCAUUUAUAAGUUGAGGGUUUAUAAUGUUGAAAACUUAGUUGAGGGUUUUUUUUAACGAUUCAAAAAUAGUUGAGGGGAUUUAUCACUAAAAGUCAUUAAAUGUUUUAAAAUAUUUAUUAUCAUUUUUACAUUAUUUUAUAUUGAUAUAAGCCUUUAAAACUAAUUUACAUUACUUUAUAACCGAUUUAUAAAGCUUCAUAAAUAUUUUAAUACUUUUACAUAUGAUUAAUACGCUUUCACAAUGAUUUUAUAAGUUUUAACAAUUUCUGCUACUUGGUAGGAUAACAAAAUCUAACAUUAUUCGUGAUACUACUGAAACAUAAAUUAAUACAAUAAAUCAAGAACAAUAUAUCCCCAAUAUAUUAUUGAUCAAGAAAAUAAAAAUAUAACGUAUUUAAUCAGAAAUCAAUGAGAAUAAAAAUAAUCAUGCAUUAUUUAUGGGGGAUGGGGAGAAAGUAUGACCCGAAUGACGGAAAUCAUGAAAGUAGAAAAAAAUGCAUCCUACUCUUAAUAGAAAGAUUAACUUCAUGAAUGAAUUAUCGUCGACACUACAUAAGACUUAAUAUAACUUAGAAAUUUUAAAUUAUUUGAUAUUUGACAAUGACGAUAUAAACACACCAUUUUUUUUAUAUCACUAUUGCCAAAUAUCAAAUAAUUUAAUAUUUUGAAGUUACAAUAAGUCGUAAGUAGUGUUGACAAUUAUUAAUUUAACAUGUAUAAAUUAAUUUUAUAAUAUAUUAAUGUAUUAAAAUUUAUAAAUUAGUUUUAAGGGCUUAUAAAUUAAUUUAAAACAAUGUAUAAAUGAUAAUAAAUAAUUUAAUAACAUUUAAUGACUUUUAGUGAUAAAACCCCUCAACUAUUUUUGAAUCGUAAAAAAAACCCUCAACUAAGUUUUCAACAUUAUAAACCCUAAACUUAUAAACCGUUAAUAUAUGUCCCCCUCUGUCACGGUUUUUUAGACAUAUGUUAACAGAAUUAAAGUUGAGGGUUUAUUUCAUAGGAUUUUUAGUUGAAGAUUUUUUACGAUUCAUCUUUACUUGAGGGGUUUAAUUACUAAAACCCCAAAAAUGAUUAUAUUUAAGUAGUAUUGAUUUUAAUAGUAACUAGAUUUUCACCCGCGCUAAAGCGCGGAAUAAUUUUUGAUAUUUUUUUAUAUAAUCGCAUUUUCUCUUCAUUUAAAAUAGGUUUGGGCAUAAAAUCUGUAACUCAAAGUUCGUACCAAACUAAAAAAAAACAUGAUCCAUACCGAGUCCGAAAUAUAAUAAAUUCUAAAAUAGUAAAAUAGAUCUUGUACUGUGGUACACCACAUAUAAAAACCCGAAAAGACAACCCGAAAAAUCAAGAACCAAAAAAAUAUCAAAAAACCGAUCUGAAAGUCCAAAUAAUUACAAAUACAUGUAUUUGAAACAUAAAUAUGUACUUCAAAUAUUCAAUUCUAUAUUUAUUUUGAAAUUAUAUCUAAAAUAAAUAUUUAAAUCUUCAAUAAGUAUCUUAAAUAUCCAAUCCUAUAUAAAUAAGUUUAUUUCUUAUAUUUUGCUUUUCAAUUUUGAAUUUAACUUCCAAUAUAUCCAAACCAAACCUAUAUAACAUGAAUCAGAACAAUAUAUGGUUACUUAUGGAUUUUAGAUGUGCUACAAUUUAGAAAAAAAAUCUAUUUGUUAUAUCUGAACCCGAUCUGUACUUACAAAUUUACCAUAAUGAAACCUAUAAUGUGAUAUAAAUUAGAACCAAAUUUCCAAAUACCCAAUCCGUAUCACAACGGGUACCUAAACGCUCAAGCCUAACUUAAAGUACGUUUUAUGUUUUAUUCAAUUAGUUUUAUAUUUAAUAAAUAUUUUAUAUGUGUUGGAAUAACCCGUGAAACUAUACUAAAAAAACAUCAAUAAUAACAUGUUCUAGUAUAUGAUUAAAUAUUAAUGACUAUUACUAUUUAAUUUAUCAUAUAUAUCUUGUUUAAUACUUUAUCUAUAAAAAUUAUAUUAUUAUGUAUUUGGUGUGGGUUUUAAAGAAUUUGUUUCUUGCAUUUGAAGUAAAAUACAUUUGUAUAUAUGAAUUAGUAGGCAUAUAUAAUUCUUUUUAUAUUAAUAAAUAAAUUAUAAUAGAUGAUUUAAUGAAAAGUAGUGUUAAGCUAAAAUGAAUUCAUUAUAUUAUAAAAUUAAUUGAUUAGUUAUUUAGUUCCUUAAUUUUAGGUUAGUGUAUAUAUUUAAUAAUAAUUAAAUUAUGUAUAAAUAGAAAUAAGAAGAAACCUAAUUAAAUGUACUGGUCCAACCUAAAUUAUUUGUAAUUUAUAUCAAACAUAUGACUCUAAAUUAAUAGAUUAGAUGAUGAUAUAAUCAUUUUUGGGCCAAGAUAAUUAUUGUUCAACAUCAACUUGCUAAUGGGCUUCGCCCAGAUCCAGUAAUAAAGCUUUAGAGAUUUAAUUUAUUAUUAAAAUUGUUAAGAUUGAGUGGCACAAACUGGUAAUUAUUGAGAAAAAUUCAGGAUUAAAUGAGUAUUGAUCGUAAUGAACUCCACAUAAAAUACGUAAAAUUAUAUAAAUUAGAAAUCUUAAAAUUACAAUAUUAUUAUUUUAGUAAAUCAUUAAUUUAGUAAGUCAAUAAUUUAUAAAGUCUUACAAAUAUUUCUAAACAUUAAUCAAUAUUUUAAUUAUAAAAAGUAUUAUGUGACGAUGCCAAAUAUUCUCAUGGGAUGAAGCAUCAAUGAUCCAGAAAACCAGUGAACUCAGAACUGAAUGAUGCUUUGGUGAGACUGUGUUUUGAAUAAGGAGACUAUAAUGUCCCGACCGUCCACGGCUAAUGGGCCACCCACGCCCGCUCUCUCGGCCCAUGGACCCCAUCCCGUUCCAACGGUCGGUCCGUUAAUUUUUUCGAGGCUCGAAAUCAUUGUUUACUGACCCUGCAAUCACCAUCCGACAUUUCCCCGUGCUUUGGCCUCACUCGCACGCUAUCGCGAAUCACUUCCCGAUAGGUCACUCAUUCUUCCACUACUUCAACUCAAGCACACUUAACUCUGGAGUUCUUUUUGGAUGUGUUCCGGAAAAGGUAAGUCAACUUUGGUGACAUAGGUAGCCAAAUCAAUUCUCUUAAGCCUUUUCCAUAUAUCACAAACCAGGAUGUUCCAGAGACAUACAAUGGUGAUGAGCAUGAUGGUAAUGAACAAUGGUGAUGUUUAUGUGACAUACAAUGGAGACCCGAGCAUGCAUGCUGAUGAGUGGGGAACAUAAGCAGAACUCUCUUCCCCACCUGGAAGUAGCAAAGGAAAGAAAGACUAUAGUUCCUUAAGAAUGGAUAAACCUUAUAGUCGGAGGGCACAAUUUGUUUGCUUGUGAUGAUUUCUUUGAAUAUAAUGUAUUGUGUGAAGGUCUUUAGAAACACGUCACAAUGCAUUAGCUUUUGCAUCAGAAUCAUCUACGAAGUGUAGUAUAGCUUUACCUUUUCGAACAAUAGAAUGAGCUGACUUCACUUCAUGUUAUAUAGUAACAUGAAUAUUGAGGCUUCAAUACGCCAAUGUAAGAAAUGUUGCGGUACUUUUCUGAAAAGUUCAUGCCAUAGCCCACGGCAGUCAUAUGUGUCGAGCUAGAUGGACUUCAAAUCUAAAACCAAUUGGUGAUAAGUGAAGUGGUCUAUCUAUCUUAUAUAUUACUUAGGAUCUCUUCCAAUUACCGAUGUGGGACACUUUGUGUCUAAUAUGCCCCUCGAUGUUCGUCUUUCUCUCCGGCGGGUAUAAGCAUGCAACAGUAACUACAAGAGGGUUAUACCGCGUGGUCGCAGAUGAACCUAGGAGUUGAAUGUUGAAGAUCCCAGAUUACAAGCUUCUUGUCCAUUCCACCGGUUGCAGCCAUAGGGAUAGUUGCGGAGCUUGGUGAAAACUUCACGCAUUCAACAAACCUUUCCAGUGACUAUAUUCUCAAUGUGAACAGAACCGUCUUUUGAGCCACUGAUGGCGAGACUGGAGUUCGAGUUAAUGUCAGAGUGCAACCAAAAAUUAUAAGUUGAGCAUAGAUGCUAGAAAGAAAAUGAACAAAACUACAUAUAUCUCAAGAAGAGAGUUUACCACGACCAGUUCAAAGAAAUAAGUGCAACAUUUAUUUUGUCCUUAAAAAAGAAACUGCAAGAUAUAUUAUUAACAUGGUACCAUCAGACAAUUAGUUAAUAAUUAGAUCAGAAGUUGAAUAGAGAUGCUCAUGAAAAACAGUUUGAGAAAGACACAGACAAAUAUUAAAGAAAAAUGAUAUAUAUAUAAAAUAGAAUAAACAGAAGACUUGGAAAUUCAGCAAUAGACAGGAGCAGAAAAUAAGACCUUAAGGCUAUAUGAGUGUGAGAGAGGAUCAUCUCUCAAUAUAACACCAGACCACUCAAUCUUCCCCCAAAUCUGGCUUCCCUCGUGCCUUUCCAAGGAAAUCUCAGCAGACUUGAGCUCCAAACCCUCAGGAUAUUCAAGUUGGGUGUUCCAAAAGAUGACAAUGUUGCCAGAAGAGUUGCAGCUGAGUUUGCUAAUAUCAUAUUUGACCUUUCUCUGGGUUGGUUUACAGGGUUCAUAAACUUUUUUACCAUAAUCCAUCACGUGUCUCAAGCCAGAGAAAGACGACUCUUGCAGCUCUUCCAAGCCCUUCACUUCCUUCCAAUCCAAUUCAUCUGGCUCACACCACAGUAUUCUCCCUCGAGUUCCACGACAAAAUAACAAAUCCCCAAUGGCACACCAAUCAUUUCUGUUUCCGGGCUUACAAUCUCUUUUUCCGCUUGUCCAGGAAGGACACUCACUUGGCAAAGAGCAGAAGCUUUGGUCCUCAUCGUCAACAGCGUAAAUCUUCUUCCCUUGUACCACCACACUUUGCUGGAUACUGAUGGGCGAAAUAAAGUUAAGCCAAGUUUGGGUCUUUGGAUCGAAUACUUCUGCAGAGCUGCUGGCCUCAUCUCGGCACCCUCCAAACACAUAUAUCUUCCCGUCUAUAACGUUUGCUGAUGCGGAGGCACGUGCCAUCUUCAUCGACGGGACUGGGUGCCACGUGCGAGAAUAACAAUCAAGGAACCAGACAUCCCGAGUCGGAUUGCCGUUUACGAUUCCACCAAUUACAUAAAUGCCCCAAUCCACCACUACGAAAGAAGAUGAUGGUCUUAGAGGCUGGUAAGGGUUCGAUGGGAUUUGCCUCAGCUGCCGAUUACGUGUCAGGACGAACCAGCUUGGGUUUGGGUCAGGCAUGAUGUUCAGGCAUACGUAGAGAGAUGCCUCCGUGCAACCUAUCAGCGACCGUGUGCGGCAGAGCUCAGGGGAAGCUACUAGCGAGCGGUGUCUCUUGGAGACAAGAGAUAAGGCCGCCUGGUCUAAUCUCGUGAGCCGAGCCACGAUGCUCAGAGCCACCGCGUCUGGCAACGACGACCACCAGGGAGAUGCCUUCUCAUUCCUUCUUUUCUUCUCCGGUGGUGACUCUUCGGAUCCGUAAUUCGACUGAACACAACUCAUCUUAGAUCUCUGAUUGCUUGUCACCGAGGUCGCUAUUAUUUUAUACAACUUUAUGGUUUUUUUUCCAAAUCAAAUAAGGGAUUAUUAUUAAAAACCCUUUUUAUUUUUAUUUUUUUACUCCUUCACUUUGUCGGUAGCGUUUCUAAUAUCUUUGGAAAAUUGGAAAAUUUUAAAUCAUGAUAAACUCAAACGUUGACCCAACUCCAAACUUUUGUUUGUUUGUUUGUUUUUGCCUUCAACUAAAUGAUAAUUAUUAAAACUCAAAAUUAUAUUUAAAAAAAGUGGAUUACAAAACUUAAGAAAUCUUAUACUACUACUUCAUUUAUGAAGCAUUUAAACUCAUGAAAAAUAAUAUCUGAAAUGAACUAAACUUCCAAUAAUUAAUAAAAAAACACAAAAUAUCUGAAUCUAUAAAGAAAUAUAUAUAUAUAUUAAAGUAAUGUUUAUUUAAUUUUAGAUAUGUUCAGAUUAAUUUUAGAUAAGAUUUUAUUCGACCCACUACGAAUUUCCUCAAACAUAAUAUAUAUUCAAAUAUUUUUAUAGAUUGCAUUGGAUUAAGAUUCACAUUUUUAAUGGAGUAAGGUUUGCUUUCGGCUUUUGGUCAAAAGUUGGCGGAUUCUCCUUGGAAUAUGUAUCACAGAACAAGUACGCAAUGAGCAAACAACAAUUCAAGUUGGAUGAGCUGAAACUCAAAGUCAAAAACUACUUCGCGGAAACUAUCUCGAAGCAGAUUCUAAAGUAAUAACAGUUCCAAAGAAUUAUCGAACUCUAUGAAGGCGAAGUUGAGAGGGAAUAACCAUAAUUUCGGAGGUGCGUAGAGAAUGUUGAGGUACUCAAAUUAAGAAUGGAGAAAGCAUAACUUAGUAUUUCUCAAGAGCCACGACAGUGGCCAUUGGCCAACGCCAUUGGUGAAGACAUGUCCGACGACCGACUCAAAUGUGAUGGAAAAAGAAUUGAGAACCCCGUUAGAUCGCUGUACAUACAUAGUAGAUGCAACUGAAGAGUCCAAGAACAUACUGAAUAUCUUAUAUCUCAAUAGAUGAACUCAAUCUCACUAUUGAUACGCGAACAUUAACUCAAGAACAAAGAAAGUGAAGAACUUGUCUUAUAAGACAGGAAGGAGGCCAACGAAGAGGGAAAGUAGAAUCGUAGUAGAGGAGGAUUCUGGGGAGUCUACUGAGGCAAACGAAGAGCAUCAUUCUAAUAUACUUACAUUUAAAAAUAUUUUUAUUUUAAUAUUCAAAGUGUACUCCUAGUAAUAAUAAGUUUCAAACAAAAUUUAAAAAUCUCUAAAAUUAUAAAAUCUCAAAUUUUAUUGUAACUUUUAAGUUUAAAAACAAAUUUCAAAAUUUCAAAAAAAUUAUUGUGCUUUUCAAAAAUAAAAGUAACUAACUUUUGAAUGAUUUUAAGUCUUAGCACUACAUUUGUUCCAAGUUAGAAAUAACCUCACGGCAAUAAAUCUGUGUUGCCAUGGAUAACUAGAUCUGUGUGGCCAUGCGGAUAACUAAAUCUGUGUGGAUAUUAUUUGAGUAUAAUAAAUGAUUUAUCCAUCGACUGUAUCUAUCUCAUUGUGUAGGAUUAGUCUGGAUCUUUUUUUUUAUAAGCAUAGAACUAGAUUUUGACCUGCCUUUGAAAAGGCGGGUAUAUUUUGUUUUAAUUAUUUUUUUAAAAAUUUAAGUUUUAUAAUUCUGUUUUUUCUGUAUUUGUAUUUGUUUUUUAUUUGUAAUCAAAUUUGUGUAUAAAUUUUAAACAAAAUCAAUUUUAUAAAAUAAUAGCAAUUUAAAAGUUAACCAACAUAUACAUGUUUCUUUGUAAUCAUAUUUUUCUGUUUUAGAUCUUGAUCCGCGGUAUAUUGUUGGUUUGUAAUUUUUUGUUUUUUUGUUUCUAUUAAUUUUUAUAUUUAUGAUAUUUUUUGUAAUCAUAUUUGUGUUUUAUAUUAAUUUAGUUUAGUUUAAUUUAGUAACUAUAUUAAAUAUGUUAAAUUGCAUAACUAUACAUUUAUGCUAUAUGCAUAUCAAAAAUAAUUUGUAAACUUUAUUCCUGAAGUAUGCAACAUAUUAUAUUUUCAUAUUAGUUACCUAAUAUAAUCAGUCAAGAAUAUUUCGUAAUCAACUUGAAAAUCAAAACAUUAUAUUCUAUUACACAUUACAUAUAUAUAUUCGAACGGUUUUAAAGUGUUAAAUUCGAAAACCAAUAUCAAAUCCAACCCGCACCAAAACCUGAAGAAAGUUUUUGAAAAAUGUUUGAUAAAAAUAAUUUUUAAAAUAUUCUGUUAAAUAUAUAUAUAUAUAUAUAUAUAUAUAUCUAUAUACAUAUGGUUUAAUAUAUUUUUUCACUAACUUUAACUAAAAUCACAUUUAAUAAUUUUUUAAUCGAAUAAUCUAUUUAAAACCUGUUAAAUUAUAAACCCGUCAUCCUUAGAAUUUAGACUAAAAAUUGAACGAAAAAACACCAUGCGUGAAUGGAUGCUGAAGUCCCAUAUUGACUAUCAUAAGAUCUUUUCUUAUAAUUGAUUUUUUCAUAAGUAUAUAUUUUUAUAAAUAAUACUUCCAUAAUAAUAUAUUGACUUAAAUAAUUUUAGUAUUCUUAAAUUUACUUCUAAAAAUGUAUUUUAUAGAUCAUAACUUUAAAUUUAGUAUAUUGGCCAUAUAAUUAGGUAUGAAAUAGGAGUUUGAUAUUUGUUGUUUGUUGCCGUAUUGAUAUAUACAUAUCCGAUAAAAUAGAAGUUUAAGUGGUUAUAGGAAUGGUUACGUUUUUUCCCUUUAACAUGAAGGUAGUUAUGUUUUUGUAGAUGCAAUUAUAUCAUAUGUUAUACAGUUAUAUUUUAAAUGCAGUUAUUUUUAUGUUAGACUCAACAUAUAUUAAUAAGUCAUGAUCCUAAUUUAAUCCUAAUUUAAUAGUAUUUGAUACCCCAGGUUCAUCUGAAAAUAAAAGAACUAUCUGCAGAAAGAGAAUUGUCUCUUUCGCCAGUACUUCAUAUGCAAGAUCAACAAAUAACAAGCGCAAAAUCUUAAUAUCUUUUUUACUUCUUAUUCACUUAAACGAUUACGGCCACAAGUCCCUCAUCUUCAAUCUCUGCAUCCGUAAACGUCAAAGCUCGCUGAAGCUUCCUCGCGGAAAACACCUCGACUUCAGCCAUGUAUAUUGCUACAACCGGACGAUGAUCUGAGAAUUUAUUUUCGGUACGCCGGUAUUGAACCAGCCUCAUUCCUUUGCCAAAAGAUAGUACUCUGUCACACCAAGCCGGUGUUCUCCUUGUCGCCUUUCCAUCACUCCCAGUAUACUCAUCCGAAUGCGCUUGGUACUUAUAGGUUGGUGCAAAUUGUAAAGUUCCUUCUGACCAUCCGUCAAAAGCUCGACCUUUCUUGUAUUCCUUUACCAGCUGCAAUUCAUUUAUACGAAAGAAACAAAAUAAGUAAAGUUGAGCUUAACCUUUAUAAAAGAUCAAUAGUUAUGCUUACCUGAUCAUAUUCAAGUAACUUGGACCACUCUCUCUUGGAAAUGAGGUCUUUGGUUUUCUCAUACGAUAAAUUAAGCCGAUAAUUGAGGUCUCCUAACCAGAUUAUUCGUCUGCAAAGAGGUGAAAACAAGAUAAAGUUAGAAGAAUAUAAAUAAAAACAAUUUGUAGAAGAGAAUACAAAAGACAGACUCGUGAUCAUAGAUAAGCUUGGGAAGUCCAAGAGCUGAGACAGAGUGAAAGACUGUUCUUUUAUGUAUCUCGUGAACAUCAGCAUUCCUCUUGAUCUGAUCAACUUCUCUCUCUCCUGCCGUCAAAUGAGUGCAUAUGAAACAGAAGAACGUCUGGUAUAUCGACAUACUCACAGACACAGCUCCCUGCAUACCACAUAUCACUUUAUAAAACGAUUCUGAAACAAUAUAACAUAAAAAUUAAUGAGUUAGAAAUCAUUUCUGACUAGGGUCAGGCAGUGGCUGGUCUCCACACUGUAGCACUAAUUAUGUUCCUACCAGGCUGACCGGAUCAGCUAUAAAUUAAAAGAAAAUUAAUGAAAUAUAUAAUCUUUAUAUACCUUGUUACCAAUAUAACCCAUGAUGCCAACUCCAACUGUAGAGACUCUUACGUUUUGAAUGUGUUUCCGCAUACUUCGUUUAACCCAAAUGGUUAAAAGAACCCCAACCAUUUGUUUACUCACUAGCCUCACAUAAGCCGGUCUUCGUUUCCUCUCCAUCAGCGACGUCAGGUCCAUGGACGCUAGAGCCAAUACCUCCGGUGCAACCCCGUUGUUGCUUCCGGCUACAUACUUAAACGAAUUGUAAGCCUUGAAAGACUUUGUUGUUUGUAAGGACGCUGUUGACUUCAUGGAAGGCUGUCUAUCUAGAACGCAAGAAGGUCCUAACAUGCUCAAAGGAGGCUCAGGCCAGCUUAAACCGAUCCUUUCUUUCCCACUUAACAUCCGGUUUAGCGUUUUCAUACCGGUUCCAGGGGAAUCCUCAUCGUUCUUCCUCUUGUCAAAGCUAUCAACACGUAAACAGAUUUGUCUGUCUAGCUUCUUAGGAGAAGAGAACUGUCUUUUAAUCUCAACAACCGGCACGCCGGAGUUAGGAUCAACGAGAGUGUUGACUUCGCCUACAACUCCACCGUCAUGCUUUAGCUCACCGAGGCUUUCUUCUUCCUCCUCGUUGAUGGGGUGAAUCUCAACGCCAGCGUCGCUAUCGCUCUCGUAAUCGACUUCUUCCUCUAUGACAUCGUGUGUUUCGUCAAAAGGUUUGAAUAUCCCUGGAGUUGGUGGAUCACUGUAACUCUUAACCCCAGAGUUUUUCGGUCUGACUCGGUUCAAUGCUUCUCUGAUCAAUUCUUCCCAUUUUGCAACCGGUCGGUUAUCUUCA
rnacentral:lncRNA from 1 species